rnacentral:rRNA from 1 species
UGCAAGUCGAACGGCAGCAUGAUCUAGCUUGCUAGAUUGAUGGCGAGUGGCGAACGGGUGAGUAAUACAUCGGAACGUGCCCUGUAGUGGGGGAUAACUAGUCGAAAGAUUAGCUAAUACCGCAUACGACCUGAGGGUGAAAGUGGGGGACCGCAAGGCCUCAUGCUAUAGGAGCGGCCGAUGUCUGAUUAGCUAGUUGGUGAGGUAAAGGCUCACCAAGGCGACGAUCAGUAGCUGGUCUGAGAGGACGAUCAGCCACACUGGGACUGAGACACGGCCCAGACUCCUACGGGAGGCAGCAGUGGGGAAUUUUGGACAAUGGGGGCAACCCUGAUCCAGCAAUGCCGCGUGUGUGAAGAAGGCCUUCGGGUUGUAAAGCACUUUUGUCCGGAAAGAAAUCGCACUUACUAAUAUUAGGUGUGGAUGACGGUACCGGAAGAAUAAGGACCGGCUAACUACGUGCCAGCAGCCGCGGUAAUACGUAGGGUCCAAGCGUUAAUCGGAAUUACUGGGCGUAAAGCGUGCGCAGGCGGUUGUGCAAGACCGAUGUGAAAUCCCCGGGCUUAACCUGGGAAUUGCAUUGGUGACUGCACGGCUAGAGUGUGUCAGAGGGGGGUAGAAUUCCACGUGUAGCAGUGAAAUGCGUAGAGUGG